rnacentral:rRNA from 1 species
UACGGGAGGCAGCAGUAGGGAAUCUUCGGCAAUGGGGGCAACCCUGACCGAGCAACGCCGCGUGAGUGAAGAAGGUUUUCGGAUCGUAAAACUCUGUUGUUAGAGAAGAACGUGUGAGAGAGUAGAAAGUUCUCACAGUGACGGUAUCUAACCAGAAAGGGACGGCUAACUACGUGCCAGCAGCCGCGGUAAUACGUAGGUCCCAAGCGUUGUCCGGAUUUAUUGGGCGUAAAGCGAGCGCAGGUGGUUUAAUAAGUCUGGUGUAAAAGGCAGUGGCUCAACCAUUGUGUGCAUUGGAAACUGUUAGACUUGAGUGCAGUAGAGGAGAGUGGAAUUCCAUGUGUAGCGGUGAAAUGCGUAGAUAUAUGGAGGAACACCGGUGGCGAAAGCGGCUCUCUGGACUGUCACUGACACUGAGGCUCGAAAGCGUGGGUAGCAAACAGGAUUAGAUACCCUGGUAGUCCACGCCGUAAACGAUGAGUGCUAGUUGUUUGGGUCUAUCCAGCCCUAAGUGACGCAGCAAACGCAAUAAGCACUCCGCCUGGGGAGUACGACCGCAAGGUUGAAACUCAAAGGAAUUGACGGAAGGGC